rnacentral:rRNA from 1 species
AUGCAAGUCGAGCGAAGCUUUUCAGUAGUUUACUACAGAAAAUGACUGAGCGGCGAACGGGUGAGUAACGCGUGAGCAAUCUACCUUAGUUACAGGGAUAGCCCGAGGAAACUCGGAUUAAUACCUGAUAUUCUUUAAAUUUCGCAUGAAAUUAAAAGGAAAGGUCAGCCGAACUAAGAUGAGCUCGCGUUCUAUCAGCUAGUUGGUGAGGUAAAAGCUCACCAAGGCAACGACGGAUAGCUGGUCUGAGAGGACGAUCAGCCACACUGGGACUGAGACACGGCCCAGACUCCUACGGGAGGCUGCAGCAGGGAAUAUUGCGCAAUGAGCGAAAGCUUGACGCAGCGACACCGCGUGUGGGAUGACGGAUCUAGGUUUGUAAACCACUUUCAGGAGGGAAGAAAAUGACGGUACCUCCACAAGAAGCCCCGGCCAACUACGUGCCAGCAGCCGCGGUAAUACGUAGGGGGCGAGCGUUGUCCGGAUUUAUUGGGCGUAAAGAGCUCGUAGGCGGUUCAACAAGUCGGUCGUAAAAGUUCAGGGCUCAACCCUGAAAUGUCGAUCGAUACUGUUGUGACUAGGAUACGGUAGAGGUGAGUGGAAUUCCGAGUGUAGCGGUGAAAUGCGUAGAUAUUCGGAGGAACACCAAUUGCGAAGGCAGCUCACUGGGCCGCUAUCGACGCUGAGGAGCGAAAGCUAGGGGAGCAAACAGGAUCAGAUACCCUGGUAGUCCUAGCUGUAAACGAUGGAUACUAGACGUAGAAACUGGAUUGACGGUUUCUGUGUCGUAGCUAACGCGUUAAGUAUCCCGCCUGGGGAGUACGGUCGCAAGACUAAAACUCAAAGGAAUUGACGGGACCCCGCACAAGCGGCGGAGCAUGCGGCUUAAUUCGAUGAUACCCGUAGAACCUUACCUGGACUUGACAUAUAGGGUCAAGCUAUAGAGAUAUAGUGUGCAUUAGCGCCCUA